CCCUUAGAUGUUCUGGGCUGCACGCGCGCUACACUGAUGCAUUCAACGAGUCUAAAACCUGGUCUGAGAGGGCUGGGUAAUCUUUUGAAAGUGCAUCGUGAUUGGGAUAGAUGAUUGCAAUUCUUCAUCUUCAACGAGGAAUGCCUAGUAAACGCAAGUCAUCAGCUUGCAUUGAUUACGUCCCUGCCCUUUGUACACACCGCCCGUCGCUCCUACCGAUUGAACGAUCCGAUGAAAACUGUGGAUUGAGAGUCUGAGUGGGUUCGCCUACCUCAACUUUCGAGAAGCGGUUUAAAUCUUAUCGUUUAGAGGAAGGAGAAGUCGUAACA
rnacentral:rRNA from 1 species